AAUUCAGACAGGCCCGGUCAAUAAGAGGAACUGAGGAAUCAUAUACUGUAGAGCUCUCUCUUCUUCCGCUGACCGUCCUCCAAGCAAAACCAGGCAGGAUCUUACGCAUGCUGGAGACUCCAUUUUUACCCUUUUUCUUCGGACUGUAACUACAUAUGGUUACUGCUGUGAAGGAACCCAAGAGAAGAGUUAGUCACCCGCCGCCACUUGGGUGGGCCCAUCUUUGUUGAAGAGUCACCACCCAACAGCACUGUCUCGCUGCCGAAUUUCCACCGGUUACAGGAGAUGAAGUCAAUCAUUAAUUCAUUAAUGUGAGUCUGUAUGUGACCUUCUAGGUUAUGUAUUACUGAAGCAACCUUCCUGUGGGAUAAGGGUGGUGCUGCUGGACUUUCCCUAAAUCAUUGUCCAUUGGAUAAACUAUCUCAGCAUUUGCAAGUAUUCAACUAUUUGGGGCCAAUAUCUAUCCCCAGAAGCAACUAGUGGCUGAUACAAUGACUUAAGCAAAAGGGAAACAAUACAAAUACUUAAAUGUCUGGUGGCAUGGGAUGAAUCAGUCCUUUUCCCUACCCAUCUCCAUGGAAUGGGCUCAUGAGAAGCAGAAUGAAGUUAAAUCUGCAAACAGAAAAUCUUUCUCAAAUCAAAAUAUUGCCAUAUAUUGUGGCUUGAAC